UACGGAGGGUGCAAGCGUUACUCGGAAUCACUGGGCGUAAAGCGCGCGCAGGCGGCCUUUUAAGUUGGAUGUGAAAGCCUACGGCUCAACCGUAGAACUGCAUCCAAAACUAUCAGGCUAGAGUGUGGGAGAGGAAGAUGGAAUUAGUUGUGUAGGGGUAAAAUCCGUAGAGAUAACUAGGAAUACCAAAAGCGAAGGCAAUCUUCUGGAACAUUACUGACGCUGAGGCGCGAAAGCGUGGGGAGCAAACAGGAUUAGAUACCCGCGUA
rnacentral:rRNA from 1 species